rnacentral:rRNA from 1 species
UAAUGCUUGGGAACUUGCCUUUAGGAGGGGGAUAACAGUUGGAAACGACUGCUAAUACCGCAUAAUGUCUACGGACCAAAGGGGGCUUCGGCUCUCACCUAAAGAGAGGCCCAAGUGAGAUUAGCUAGUUGGUAAGGUAAAAGCUUACCAAGGCGACGAUCUCUAGCUGUUCUGAGAGGAAGAUCAGCCACACUGGGACUGAGACACGGCCCAGACUCCUACGGGAGGCAGCAGUGGGGAAUAUUGCACAAUGGGGGAAACCCUGAUGCAGCCAUGCCGCGUGUGUGAAGAAGGCCUUCGGGUUGUAAAGCACUUUCAGUUGUGAGGAAAGGUUGGUAGUUAAUACCUGCCAGCUGUGACGUUAACAACAGAAGAAGCACCGGCUAACUCCGUGCCAGCAGCCGCGGUAAUACGGAGGGUGCGAGCGUUAAUCGGAAUUACUGGGCGUAAAGCGCACGCAGGCGGUUUGUUAAGCUAGAUGUGAAAGCCCCGGGCUCAACCUGGGAUGGUCAUUUAGAACUGGCAGACUAGAGUCUUGGAGAGGGGAGUGGAAUUCCAGGUGUAGCGGUGAAAUGCGUAGAUAUCUGGAGGAACAUCAGUGGCGAAGGCGGCUCCCUGGCCAAAGACUGACGCUCAUGUGCGAAAGUGUGGGUAGCGAACAGGA